AGCCAUAUCACAUUCAAACACCAGUUCCUGUAUGAUCACUGAAGUUAAGCAAUGUCAAACCUGGUCAGUAUCUAGAUGGUUGACUGCUUGGGAAUACCAGAUGCUGUAAG